GGCCCCUUGGUCAAGCGGUUAAGACACCACCCUUUCACGGUGGUAACAGGAGUUCGAGUCUCCUAGGGGUCACCA
rnacentral:tRNA from 4 species